GAUGAACGCUAGCGGCGUGCCUAACGCAUGCAAGUCGAACGGUUAAAGCUCCCUUCGGGGAGUGUAUAAAGUGGCGAACGGGUGAGUAACACGUAGAUACGUGCCCUAGAGUGGGGGACAACCAUUGGAAACGAUGGCUAAUACCCCAUACGACGUAAGUCGAAAGCUCCGGCGCUCUAGGAGUGGUCUGCGGUCCAUCAGCUAGUUGGUAAGGUAAUGGCUUACCAAGGCAAAGACGGAUAGGGGGCGUGAGAGCGCGAACCCCCACACUGGUACUGAUACACGGACCAGAUACCUACGGGUAGCAGCAGCGAGGAAUAUUGCGCAAUGGGGGAAACCCUGACGCAGCAACGCCGCGUGGAGGAUGAAGGCCCUCGGGUCGUAAACUUCUUUUCUGACAGAAGAGAAAGGACGGUAUGUCAGGAAUAAGGCCCGGCUAACUACG
rnacentral:rRNA from 1 species